GUUGUCGCGGCAGUGAGAAGUCUCAGCAACUCCGAUAAGUGUCUGAAGGCCAUUUGUGGGAAUCUUGAGAACUCCAUCAUACCAAGGAUACACCAGAAACCCCAAGUUCGC